rnacentral:rRNA from 1 species
ACACGUGGGUAACCUGCCUUACAGAGGGGGAUAACAGUUUGAAAAGACUGCUAAUACCGCAUAAGCACACAGUACCGCAUGGUAGGGGUGAAAAGAUUUAUCGCUGUAAGAUGGACCCGCGUCUGAUUAGCUAGUUGGCAGGGUAACGGCCUACCAAGGCGACGAUCAGUAGCCGACCUGAGAGGGUGAUCGGCCACAUUGGGACUGAGACACGGCCCAA